CAUCAGUACCUAAGGCACCCCACAACUGUGGACUCGUCAGCAACCUUGGAAACAUCCGAGCUUCUCUUAGAUUGUUGAGACAGAGAGCCAUUCCGCUCCACCAGACAUCCCAGCCGAGCUUCAACUGUCCAGCCCGAACUCUUUGGUAAGUCGCGACAACGGAUACCACUCCACUCUCUGUAAUAGAUUCCAUGUGGCCCCACCACUCUUUAGCAAGUUG
rnacentral:lncRNA from 1 species